UGGGGGUUAAAUUAUACCAUUAAUUAUUAAAUUAUUGGUAAGUUUUUGUUUUGGUCUCUUAAUUAAAAAAGUUACAAUUUGACCACGAAACUAUUUGAAAGUUUUAUUUAAGUCACUAAAUUAUUCAAAAGACUUUAUUUAUGUCACUAGGUUGUUAAAUUUUUUUUAAAAGUUCCGCCAGCGAGCUCCAUCGACGAUCCGAC
rnacentral:lncRNA from 1 species